GCAGCAUAGAGAAGACUCUGCCCUCACGCCCCAUCCCGCACAGUUGAUGCUGCGGGGCGUGGGCAGAGGGUGUGGCCGCCAUGGCGCUGCUGGGCAAUCUGCGGCAGGCCCUGAAGGCAGGGUGGGAGUGGCCUUGUGAGCAGGCGGGGUGGGAGACAGGGUAGGGGCGGGGCAGGGGUGGGGCCAGUUUUUGGGCACUCGGUCUCUAAAAGGUUCGCCAUCACUGGAUUAGGUUAUCUGAUCUGGGCAUCAUUGCUGUGCAGGACUUCCUCCCAAAAGAAGAAGUUGGUUGAAGGUGUGAAGGUUGUAGCUGCCUCUCCCUCUCCCUGCAUCUAUUUCUUUGGAAGCAGUGCCUAGAAAGACGAUGGCGCCCACCUCCCGGCCGAGAAUCCCUCCGUUUGCCGGUUAUCUUUCUGGCCCAACCGGAGCUUCGGCGCCUUCCCCACAGGGCGAAGUUGGCGGACGUGGACCGAAGAAAGCGCCGCUGCCUAGGUAAAGCGGCUCGGGUUGUGCCUCUGGCAUUUGGCCACGCUUCGGAUCGACCCAGCGAGACCCCUUUGCGCGCAGAUUCAGCCGGAACCCUGGCCUGAACUUCAGGGUUGCCCUGAAGGGACUUGUUGAGUUACCUGCAAACUUUGGUCGCGCUGCUGAGGAUCCUAAAGUUUCGCCCCUCGGAGCACGCGCAGAGCGCGUCUUCAGCUUCCCCGAGAAACUGCUCGUCCCUGCACGCACAAUGAAUGGCUCCGGUUAUGUAAACACAAGAGCAAACGGGUUCGACUAAACUGAUGCGUUGCGAAGCCCAGCCGAGACAGUUUCUCCCAGGAUUUCUCCCUAUGGCUUGGGGCUUUAAGUGUAGCUGUAGCCCACGGCCCAGGACUAGAGGUCUUCCGCUGCCAAGACCCGGGGCCUGAAACUUACUGACUUAGAAGAAACCCACCAAGACUCGCGUAGUCUCGCUGCCUUCUAAGCCAAGGGGAGGGGGGACACUGAAAAAAGUGCUUUUCUCUCCAGGGGUAACUGUAAAGUCGUAGGUGAGAUUGCUUGAGCUGAUCGACCCCCCCCCCCCAAACAAACAUCUCGGAUAGGAAAAGAAGCAAGUUCCUUUUCGGCACUUGGCCGCGGGCCGGAAGUCCCAGGUAGUGGUUGGAAUGAGUUGCAGGACAGUGGUCUGGGGUCGCUGAUCACCUCGCAGUGAAACUCCCGCUGGAGUUUCACAACCGCGAGUCUAAUCAAACUGGAGCGAGCUCCUAGUGACUCCAAAUCUCCGCCGUCUUCCUGGACCGCUCAAACUCCGCUCCCCUGAAGGAAUCAUAGGCUGAUGAGCUGCCUUCGACAGAGACGUCCAGCCGCUGUGCCAGUCACCUUGACCCAUCGUCUUCGGUUUUUCUGGA